rnacentral:rRNA from 1 species
CGGCAGGCUUAACACAUGCAAGUCGAGGGGUAUAGUUCUUCGGAACCAGAGACCGGCGCACGGGUGCGUAACGCGUAUGCAAUCUGCCUUUCACAGAGGGAUAGCCCAGAGAAAUUUGGAUUAAUACCUCAUAGUAUAGCGACAUCGCAUGAUGAUGCUAUUAAAGUCACAACGGUGAAAGAUGAGCAUGCGUCCCAUUAGCUAGUUGGUAAGGUAACGGCUUACCAAGGCAACGAUGGGUAGGGGUCCUGAGAGGGAGAUCCCCCACACUGGUACUGAGACACGGACCAGACUCCUACGGGAGGCAGCAGUGAGGAAUAUUGGUCAAUGGGCGCAAGCCUGAACCAGCCAUGCCGCGUGCAGGAUGACGGUCCUAUGGAUUGUAAACUGCUUUUGCACAGGAAGAAACACUGAUUCGUGAAUCAGCUUGACGGUACUGUGAGAAUAAGGAUCGGCUAACUCCGUGCCAGCAGCCGCGGUAAUACGGAGGAUCCAAGCGUUAUCCGGAAUCAUUGGGUUUAAAGGGUCCGUAGGCGGUCUGGUAAGUCAGUGGUGAAAGCCCAUCGCUCAACGGUGGAACGGCCAUUGAUACUGCUGGACUUGAAUUAUUAGGAAGUAACUAGAAUAUGUAGUGUAGCGGUGAAAUGCUUAGAGAUUACAUGGAAUACCAAUUGCGAAGGCAGGUUACUACUAAUGGAUUGACGCUGAUGGACGAAAGCGUGGGUAGCGAACAGGAUUAGAUACCCUGGUAGUCCACGCCGUAAACGAUGGAUACUAGCUGUUGGAAGCAAUUUCAGUGGCUAAGCGAAAGUGAUAAGUAUCCCACCUGGGGA